UCUCAGAGAUGAGGACAUAAUCGUGGAGAGUGUGUGUAGCUCGCUCUCAUGGCAGCAGCCAGUCAGGGCAGACCCCAGGUCUCGUGACCCACAAAGUCUAAUACAUAAUGCACCCUCCCUCUGUGUGGCAUUGAUUCUGGCCUUCGUGCUUUGAAGACCAUGAGCCCUGAUGGAAUAGAAGCCAAACAAGAGUUCAGCAGCUGUUUUCAUCUGUUAAAUUUUGCCAUCUGUCUCAGAUCCCAGCGUUUAAUGUCUACUUGAUGUGAAAAGAAAAUGACACCCGAAACACAACAGCCAGAGCAAACCAGAAGUGAAUGUUAAUGAGUGUUACAGGAAGUCGACAGGAAGCCAGAAGUGUGGGUAUGGAAGUGAAAAACUUUUCAAAAAGCACAUCAAGAACAUAGCAGGUGAGGCACGCAGUGAGAGAGAGAGAGGCAGAGACACAGGCAGAGGGAGAAGCAGG